rnacentral:rRNA from 1 species
GACAGAGGUGGCAAGCGUUGUCCGGAAUUACUGGGCGUAAAGCGUGCGCAGGCGGUUAUGUAAGACAGUUGUGAAAUCCCCGGGCUCAACCUGGGAACUGCAUCUGUGACUGCAUAGCUAGAGUACGGUAGAGGGGGAUGGAAUUCCGCGUGUAGCAGUGAAAUGCGUAGAUAUGCGGAGGAACACCGAUGGCGAAGGCAAUCCCCUGGACCUGUACUGACGCUCAUGCACGAAAGCGUGGGGAGCAAACAGG